AAAUGUAAGCUCUGCAUCCGGCAUCAGCGACGACCGAAAAAAGUCAAGAUUGGGAAGACUGCCUGGGUAGUCGUUCCUUGUACAUGGCUUACGAAAGAUUCCGUAAAAAGACACAGCAAGAGUGAAUCCCACAACGAAGCCAUGGCAUUUGAGGCGAGUCGGACCAAACCUACGCAGUCGAUCCAUUCUUCAACUGAAAAAGGCGUCACUUUAAACCAGCAAGCUAGGGUAGCUGCUUUCAGGUGUACCACACACUACCAACUACAAGCCGUCCAUAAUAGAUCUGUGUAAAGAACAAGGCGUAUCUGUUUUGAAUAAUCUGCACAAAGGUGACAACGACAAAAGAGAGUCUGAGCGAUUCAUACAGGAAGCCGUCCUGACAAUGGGUAAUCUGGUCAAGCGGCCGUUACUGAAUGAUCUUCGAGCUUCACCAUGGUAUUCCAUUAUUAUCUUCACAAUUGAGCUAAAAUAAAUCCGUAUAAACUUACGUAAUACUUACCGUAAUUGUAAAUUUUAAGGCACUUAGAAAUGCAAAUUUUAUGAAAUUAUAUUCAUUUUUUUAACAGGCAAAUGAUGCAAUCUUCACCACUGUGAAACCAUUGGUCCAUGGUACCCUAUCGGUACUCAGACAGCUCCAAGAAGAACCAGGUGAAAACAUGAAAAAAGGCCCCAGCUCUGAUUACAUCACUCAGUGAGCAGAACCUUACUGUCAGACAGCCAACAGAAAAGCAGUUAGAUGAUUUCUCUGAGCAGAUAACUGAUAAAUAUAUUUUUUGUUUAGUUUUUAUGCCUGUAUUAGAAACCAAAGACAACAAACAUCAGAAGUUAUGUAAUUAGAAUAGAUGUUUAAUAUUUAUUAUUAAAAAAGCUUUUAACAUAUUUUCCUUCAAUAUGCAUUAUAUUUUUAAAACUGUUCUACUGAGAAUGAAACUAAUAUUGAUUGAAAAUUGACUAAAAAUUCAAAAUAUUUCAGAUAAAUCGUCCCUUACUUGAGAAACUCAUUGACAACCUAGAGAGUCGGUUUCCAGACCUGCCCAUAAUUGAGAAGUGUGAUAUCCUGACAGCAAGAGAUAUUCCUUGUGACGAUGCAACAUACGGCAAUGAUAAGAUCUAGGCUCUUUCAACACACUUCUCACUUGAUGAAGACCGUGCAGUAAUUGAAUGGACACAGGUGAAAGCCACCCUUACCACACCAGAAAUGGCCAGUAUGAAUGCUGUGAGUACCAUGGAGCGGAUUGCUGGUAGUCGUGUGGAGUCCUAUCCAAACCUGAGCAAAGUAGCUACAGUAGGACUUCUUUUACCAACCUCCACAGCUGAUUGUGAAAGAGGUUUCAGCACAUUGAAUCGAGUGAAAACAACACACCGUGCAUCACUCAGCAUGAAUGUUUUGAAUGCUUUGCUCAAAUUGUCCAUGCAUGGACCACAAUUACAGGACUUUGAUUUCCACAAUGCAGUAAAAGAAUGGCACAAUGCUAAGGACAGACGAUCAGAACUAUAAUAAUGGUGUCUUAAUUUAAAGAAUGUGAUGUGUGCAGACAAUCUGAACUAUGAUUAUGUCUAAUAUCUGUUAAUACAAAAGAAAUGUCUUAAGUGAAAAAAGUCUUGUUAUUACAAAACAAAAAUAUGUGAAAAAAGUGUAUAUGUGUUUGUAAAAAUGAAAUUUAAAAAAUAAAAGUAUUGACAUGUUGUUGUGUUUUUUACAUAUGAUCUACUUAAAUAAGCACCAUUUGGGUUCAAAUUUAAAAAAAAAAAAUCGAUCAAGGGAGGG